rnacentral:rRNA from 1 species
GAUGAACGCUAGCGGCAGGCCUAACACAUGCAAGUCGAGGGGCAUCAUGGCGUAGCAAUACGCUGAUGGCGACCGGCGCACGGGUGCGUAACGCGUAUGGAACCUACCCACCGCAGGGGGAUAACCCGCCGAAAGGCGGACUAAUACCCCAUGGUUCCCCGACCCUGCCUGGGGUUGGGGGUAAAGCCUACGGGCGGCGGUGGAUGGCCCUGCGUGCCAUUAGCUGGCUGGUGGGGUAACGGCCCACCAGGGCGACGAUGGCUAGGGGGUCUGAGAGGACGAUCCCCCACACUGGUACUGAGACACGGACCAGACUCCUACGGGAGGCAGCAGUGAGGAAUAUUGCACAAUGGGCGAAAGCCUGAUGCAGCAACGCCGCGUGAGUGAUGAAGGCCCUCGGGUUGUAAAGCUCUGUCGGGUGGAAGAUGUGGUCCGGCUAACGAACCGGAUUGUGACGGUACCAUCAAAGGAGCACCGGCUAACUCCGUGCCAGCAGCCGCGGUAAA